GACGAACGCUGGCGGCGUGCUUAACACAUGCAAGUCGAACGGAAAGGCCCUGCUUUUGUGGGGUGCUCGAGUGGCGAACGGGUGAGUAACACGUGAGUAACCUGCCCUUGACUUUGGGAUAACUUCAGGAAACUGGGGCUAAUACCGGAUAGGAGCUCCUGCUGCAUGGUGGGGGUUGGAAAGUUUCGGCGGUUGGGGAUGGACUCGCGGCUUAUCAGCUUGUUGGUGGGGUAGUGGCUUACCAAGGCUUUGACGGGUAGCCGGCCUGAGAGGGUGACCGGCCAAAUUGGGACUGAGAUACGGCCCAGACUCCUACGGGGGGCAGCAGGGGGGAAUAUUGCAAAAGGGGCGGAAGCCUGAUGCAGCAACGCCGCGUGCGGGAUGACGGCCUUCGGGUUGUAAACCGCUUUCGCCGGUGACGAAGGGUGAGUGACGGUAAUGGGUAAAGAAGCACCGGCUAACUACGU
rnacentral:rRNA from 1 species